GUGGGGAAUAUUGGACAAUGGGCGAAAGCCUGAUCCAGCCAUGCCGCGUGUGUGAAGAAGGUCUUCGGAUUGUAAAGCACUUUAAGUUGGGAGGAAGGGCAGUAAGUUAAUACCUUGCUGUUUUGACGUUACCGACAGAAUAAGCACCGGCUAACUUCGUGCCAGCAGCCGCGGUAAUACGAAGGGUGCAAGCGUUAAUCGGAAUUACUGGGCGUAAAGCGCGCGUAAGUGGUUUUGUAAGUUGGAGGUGAAAUCACCGGGCUCAACCUGGGAACUGCCUCCAAAACUGCAUGACUAGAGUACGGUAGAGGGUAGUGGAAUUUCCUGUGUAGCGGUGAAAUGCGUAGAUAUAGGAAGGAACACCAGUGGCGAAGGCGACUACCUGGACUGAUACUGACACUGAGGUGCGAAAGCGUGGGGAGCAAACAGGAUUAGAAACCCUGGUAGUCC
rnacentral:rRNA from 1 species